UACGGGGGGGGCAAGCGUUGUUCGGAAUUACUGGGCGUAAAGGGCUCGUAGGCGGCCAACUAAGUCCGACGUGAAAUCCCCAGGCUUAACCUGGGAACUGCGUCGGAUACUGGAUGGCUUGAAUCCGGGAGAGGGAUGCGGAAUUCCAGGUGUAGCGGUGAAAUGCGUAGAUAUCUGGAGGAACACCGAUAGCGAAGGCAGCUUACUAGACUGUAACUGACGCUGAUGCACGAAAGUGUGGGGAUCAAACAGG
rnacentral:rRNA from 1 species